UUAUGACCAGACUUGGGCUUGUUUAAUCAUCCGGGCUUCUGCCCGGUGCACUUGUUCAGCCCAGGCCAGCAUCAGUUUUCCCCGGGGGACAAAGGCGGCGGGAAUGUGGCUCCUCCGGGAGUGUUAUAGCCCAUUGUGUAAUACCCUGUGGUGGACUGAGGUUCGCGCAUCUGCAAGGAUGCUGGCGUAAUGGUCAUCAGCGA
rnacentral:rRNA from 1 species